GGGGAUUUAGCUCAGUGGCAUAAGCACCUGCCUUGCAAGCAGGUGCUUGCAAUCGAUCCCCG
rnacentral:tRNA from 1 species